ACUCGCGCGCCGGAGGAUUUUCGCGGGACGAACGUUUUCGGGCGACGUGGCGCGGACGCACGCACUACGUUAAAACUCGACGGUGAUACUCGAGCCGUUCUCGCCGUUGACGGCUCCUCGCUCCGCUCACACCACCCCGACUCACACCGCGAACUUCCUCGGCCACCCUCGGCAGGUUACGGCCCCCGUCGUCUUGCCUCGGUACGCGCAAAAUGACGUCACGCAGCGACAGAUGAAAACCCCGGCAGUCUGGGAUAUCGAUCGCUUGCGCUGGCGCAGCCGAGGCGUAUCGCGCAGCGACUCCGGACAAUCGGUGGCAGACGCGGGACACGUGGCUGAAAUUCCGAAAGAUAUGACAGUUCGGGGGCUCGCACAGAUGAAGAAACAGGAGCAGAGAAUUCGGAGCAAAACAAUCAUCCCCCGCUGUGAUGCGGCUUUGAUUUCGCAACCCUAUUGUUGCAACGUUGCGCAAACACCGACAUCUAUCGGAGGGGGAAGCAAUUGAAAUGGAAGAAGUAUUUGCGGCGAAAAUGAAAUAAGUACGGUAUUUUUCCGCGUAAACGCACCACCUUCGUUAUUCGACCUUUUUCUACCGCACGGUCUUACCGACUUUCAACAACGCCGACAUUCCGAGAAGGAACACCCCCUGGAGUUUCGAGUCACCACCUUCUGAUACGUACGUAUCAUCGAUGGUUUUCUUCUUGUUGUCUUGACGCUGUCCUGUGGAUUAGGUAAAAUCGUGAGAAAAGACGCUCUGCAAACAAAUUCCACAAAAGAAAAACGUUACACCAUUGGACAAUUUGCAAGAAUUUGCUUUCUCUUGAAGAAGGAGAUAUUACCGAUUUAUGUACAGGUAGGUAACCCUUAAUAGUUGAAAAGGAAACAAUGAAAAUAUUGGACUGUAUUCUUGUGUACAAAAAAAAUAGCAAA